rnacentral:rRNA from 1 species
GACGAACGCUGGCGGCGUGCUUAACACAUGCAAGUCGAGCGGUAAGGCCCUUUCGGGGGUACACGAGCGGCGAACGGGUGAGUAACACGUGGGUGACCUGCCUCUAGCUCUGGGAUAAGCCCGGGAAACUGGGUCUAAUACUGGAUAUGACUCCAUGACGCAUGUUGUGGGGUGGAAAGCCUUGUGCGGCUAGAGAUGGGGCCCGCGGCCUAUCAGCUUGUUGGUGGGGNGAUGGCCUACCAAGGCGACGACGGGUAGCCGGCCUGAGAGGGCGACCGGCCACACUGGGACUGAGACACGGCCCAGACUCCUACGGGAGGCAGCAGUGGGGAAUCUUGCGCAAUGGGCGAAAGCCUGACGCAGCGACGCCGCGUGAGGGAUGACGGCC